CCUGGCCCUAGAGGCACUGCAGGUAUAGCGGCUGUGUUUUCACACAUAGGUGGCAGAGAGGAGGGAGGCUAUGUCUGCACGCAGUGUUCUGAUCUAUGAACAUCUGAAUGACUAGUGGCCUACCAUU